AAGAUGAGGAUGAUGACUACUGGAUCAAGUAUAUAUUCGUGAUGCUCAUUGACCGGGGCUAUAUUAGAGUACGUGGCUUAAAGAUAAGAAAAGAGAGACACUAGGUAGCUACGAUGCUCGAACACCCUAUUCUUCCGGUGUACUCACUAAUGUGGUUGAUUUACAGUAAGUAUCCUCAUUCGGAGAUAGAGAUUUUAAUUCUCAGUUAUUUCUCUAUAGUACUCAUUUCUCGCCUUUGUCUCUAAAAAUAUUAUUUUAGAGAAUGCACUUACUCCCUAUGAGAUUAUCCAACAUAAUUUUAUUUUAGCCUAAAAUCAAAAUUUUAUACUUCUAGAAAUUUUGAAUAUAAAAAUAUAAUAUUAUUUUAUUAUAAAUUAAUUUUUUUUAAAAUAAAAUUAAUGAUGUUAGAUUAAGAGAUACUAAAUAUUAUCUUAUUCUCCAAAUAUCAGCCGCACACCCUACGUAAACGAUCUAAUCCAUUUGUUUUUUUUCUUUUUACUUUUUUAAUAUUUUUUUGAAAUUAUUCCUUUAACAUAAUUAAAUAUUUUUUUUGAAAAAAGUUUUUUCCAACAACCAAAUAUUACUAUUAUUCUCUGAACUUUUGGUAGAGUUUCAUUUAAACCCCCAAACUCAUAAAAUGUACAUCUCAUACCUUAAAUUCUAAUAUUUCAUUCAUGUUACUCUUUUCGUCAGUUUUCGAUUAACGGGGCUGGACGGUAAACUGACGGAAAGGAUAACAUGAAUAAAAUAUUAUAAUUUAAGGUGUCAGAUGUCUAUUUUAGAAGUUUGAGAGAUAAAGUGAGCCUCUGCCAAAAGUUCAAGGAGUAACCUACAAUUUACCCUU
rnacentral:lncRNA from 1 species